UACAGAGGGUGCGAGCGUUGUUCGGAAUUAUUGGGCGUAAAGGGCGCGUAGGCGGUGCGGUAAGUCACCUGUGAAAUCUCCUGGCUCAACUGGGAGCUUGCAGGCGAAACUGCCGUGCUGGAGUGUGGGAGAGGUGCGUGGAAUUCCUGGUGUAGCGGUGAAAUGCGCAGAUAUCAGGAGGAACACCAAUGGCGAAGGCAGCUCGCUGGGACGUGACUGACGCUGAGACGCGAAAGCGUGGGGAGCAAACAGG
rnacentral:rRNA from 1 species